rnacentral:snRNA from 1 species
AACUUUGCGCAGAGGCAGCGUCGUACCCAAUGAAGUGAUAACUGAGGGGCGACUAUUGCUAGUUGAAAAUCAGGAAGGUAGAAUAACUAUUUAAUGCAGCGACAAACCUGCAAGGAGUCUAUAUAAAACAGCAGGAGUUG